UACGUAGGGUGCGAGCGUUGUCCGGAAUUACUGGGCGUAAAGGGCGCGUAGGCGGCCCGUUAAGUCGAACGUGAAAUCCCUGGGCUCAACCCGGGAACUGCGUCCGAUACUGGCAGGCUUGAAUCCGGGAGAGGGAUGCGGAAUUCCAGGUGUAGCGGUGAAAUGCGUAGAUAUCUGGAGGAACACCGGUGGCGAAGGCGGCAUCCUGGACCGGCAUUGACGCUGAUGAGCGAAAGCUAGGGGAGCAAACGGG
rnacentral:rRNA from 1 species